GGGAAGUAUAUCUUCCGAACAAGGUUUUCGUUAAGGGACAGCGGGGAUGCCUCAUUGAUCAGGGCGAGUUCCUAGGCCCUCCAGGUGCAGAUCCGGGGCGCGCGAGCGCCCCGCCCCCCACAUCUCCGCGUACGAUUCCCUGUUGCUUCCCCGGGGAGGGACAAACCACCCCGGGGGAGGACCCCCCAAGAGCACACGAUGCCGACCAACAGACGUUUCCACCCCCCCCUUGUCUGAAGGGCCAGAGUGCCAGGAAGGAAGGAGCGAGCAAAGAGAUGAAUGCAAAAAACUUUCAACAACGGAUCUCUUGGUUCCCGCAUCGAUGAAGAACGCAGCGAAAUGCGAUAAGUAAUGUGAAUUGCAGAAUUCAGUGAAUCAUCGAAUCUUUGAACGCACAUUGCGCCCCCUGGCAUUCCGGGGGGCAUGCCUGUUCGAGCGUCUCCAGGAAGAAGACUCACGCGGCGCAAAGCGUGGUGGUGGCGGCGGCGGCGGUCCCGAGAGGGCAGCCACCCCGGCGGAAUUGAUGGGCGGACGACUGCCGCGUCCCUGAGCGUGAUAUUCUUGCUAUCGCCUCGAGCGCGGCGAGGCACCCAGCCCCGGCCAGUCGCCUCCCGCAUCGGAGAGUGUGAUAUUUUGCUAUCGCCUCCCGAGCGGCUAGGCUGCCAGCCCUGCCACCUGGGCAGGGCAGGGAGACCCGUGUCAUUGGAACUCCUCGAAUCA
rnacentral:rRNA from 1 species